rnacentral:rRNA from 1 species
AUGAACUCGGAUCUGUGCAGGCCCUACUCUGACAAGGAGAUCAAGUUGGCGCUGUUUCAAAUGGGUCCUGCCAAGGCUCCCGGACCGGGCAGGUUCCCUGCCCUCUUUUAUCAAACUCAUUGGGAUUUCUUGGGGGAGGACAUCUGUCAGGCGGUUCGGGGUUUCUUGGAGGGGAGGCCGAUUCCAGAAGGUUUUUGUGACUCCGUCAUUGUGCUGAUUCCGAAGACUGUCAAGCCCAAACACCUCAAGAACUUCCGCCCCAUCAGUCUCUGUAAUGUGCUCUACAAAAUUGCUUCCAAAGUCUUAGCUAACAAACUGAAGGCCAUUCUGCCUAUGGUGGUGUUUGAGACUCAAAGUGCCUUCGUCCUGGGCAGGUUGAUCAUGGAUAAUGCAUUGAUUGCUUAUGAAUGCCUUCACACAAUCAGGAAACAACGCGUGAAGAAACCUUUCUUUGCUCUCAAGAUUGACAUGAUGAAGGCUUAUGAUCGUGUGGAGUGGAGUUAUCUCCAUCAAUGGUUGGCUAAGCUGGGUUUUGCAUCUUCCUGGAUUGACACUGUGAUGUGUUGUGUGACUAAUGUCCGGUAUGCUGUCAGAGUCAAUGGGGAGCUUACGCAACCGGUGAUUCUGUCACAUGGCAUUAGACAAGGUGACCCAAUCAGCCCUUAUCUUUUCCUCUUAUGCACCAAAGGUCUAUCUAGUCUGCUAUUCCAUAAGGAGGCUUGUGGCGAGCUACAUGGGAUUCGAAACGACCGUCAUGGCCCGUCUAUCUCACACCUCCUUUACGCGGAUGAUAGCAUUUUCUUUGCUAAGAGUGAUCCUCAGAGUGUGGCAUCCUUGGAAGCUACGCUCAGUUCUUAUUGUGCGGGUUCGGGACAGGCAAUCAAUCGUGACAAGUCAGCUGUUCUCUUUGGCAAUCAUUGUCCAACGGAAGUCAAGGACAGAGUGAAGCACCAGUUGGGCAUAAGGAGUGAGAAUUUUAAUGGAUCUUAUUUGGGUAUGCCUAUGGAGGUGGGCAACUCUCCUACAAAUACUUUCAAGUUCUUGACUGAUAAAGCAUGGCAGAAUAUUUUUGGUUGGGCGGACCGGCCUUUGUCCAGAGCUGGGACUGAGGCAUUGCUGAAAUCUAAGACUCAAGCAAUCCCCACCUUUAUUUCGAGCUGUUUCCGCCUUCCAGUAGCUAUAUGUGAGAAGUUCAGGCAAAUCGUGGCUGAUUAAUGGUGGGGUCGCCAGGAUGGCAAGAAGAAGAUGCACUGGCGCUCGUGGGACUGGCUAUCCACUCCAAAAGCUCUCGGAGGCAUGGGUUUCAGGGAUUUGGCGCUCUUUGACCAGGCGAUGCUUGGUAAAACAUGGCUGGUGCCUCCUGACCGAGCCCGGGUCGCUUUGCACGCAGGUUCUAAAGGGGAGGUAUUUUCCUUUCACUGA